rnacentral:rRNA from 1 species
UUCCUACGGGAGGCAGCAGUGGGGAAUAUUGGGCAAUGGGCGCAAGCCUGACCCAGCAACGCCGCGUGAAGGAAGAAGGCUUUCGGGUUGUAAACUUCUUUUCUUGGGGACGAAGAAAGUGACGGUACCCAAGGAAUAAGCCACGGCUAACUACGUGCCAGCAGCCGCGGUAAUACGUAGGGGGCAAGCGUUAUCCGGAUUUACUGGGUGUAAAGGGGGCGCAGACGGCAAUGCAAGCCAGGAGUGAAAGCCCGGGGCCCAACCCCGGGACUGCUCUUGGAACUGCAUGGCUGGAGUACAGGAGG